CCCCCCGGCAAACCAGCCCUUACAACACCGCUCACCGCUCAGAACGGCCCUGGGCCCAGACUGACCGCUCAGAGAAUCCCGUGGGAGAGUAAAGUGAUGAAUCCUGCUUUCACGGAAGCCUGAAAGUGUUUGAGUCUUGGCUAAGGAGGCGGUAAAUCUGUCCAACACAGUAAAGUUGUUCAAAUUUCAAUAUAGCUAAAGUUCUCGUUUUAUGUUCAUGCAGUUCACUGGGAUAGCUGGAACUGUUUCAAUACCAAUUGCAUUCAGUUAUUUUCUUAUCCUUUCCAAUUCCUUCACUUUGGUGAUUUGAUCAGUAGAAUAUUUUGGCAACCCUCCCCCUUCAACCUUAUGGAGAUUUGAUUGUCAAUUUGAAGACAGAGGAGCUCUUCUCAAUUGUCUCAUUAUAUUUGUCUACGAAAGACUUCUUUCCAACUGCCCUGGAAAUUCGACAACCAUGGCUUGUGAGCCAGUGAGCCAAGCUGACAAAGCCCUCUAGCUCUGAAGCCUGUUUGUAUUGACAUAUAUGAGGGGAGUUUGAUGACAGCUGCAUAUUCCUGCACCUGAUCUGAGGAAUCUCAGAUCACCCAAGAAGAAUCUGUUGCUUGCUGCCAGUUGGUCGAGAUGUCCGAAAUACCGAAGACGACUGUGUUGGGGGGUCACUGGCUUCUUUCUCAUCGCUGAUCCUAUUGCUUCUCCCUUGGCAAAAUGUGAAUGUGACUCUCCUCCUUGCCAGCUUACAGUGCAUUAUUUAUUUUGGUAAGAAACUCAAAGUCAAUAAAAGCAAAAGUGGCACCUU